rnacentral:rRNA from 1 species
GACGAACGCUGGCGGCGUGCUUAACACAUGCAAGUGGAGCGACGAACCAGGGCUUGCCCUGGGGCAAAGCCGCGAACGGGUGAGUAACACGUGGGUAACCUGCCCCGAUGACCGGGACAACCCGAGGAAACUCGGGCUAAUACCGGAUGUGCUCACGAGCCGCAAGGCCCGUGAGCAAAGGUAGCUUCGGCCUCCGCAUCGGGAUGGGCCCGCGGCCCAUUAGCUUGUUGGUGGGGUAACGGCCUACCAAGGCGACGAUGGGUAGCUGGUCUGAGAGGACGAUCAGCCACACUGGGACUGAGACACGGCCCAGACUCCUACGGGAGGCAGCAGUGGGGAAUCUUGCGCAAUGCGCGAAAGCGUGACGCAGCAACGCCGCGUGAGGGAAGACGGCUUUCGGGUUGUAAACCUCUUUCAGUUGGGACGAAGCUUUGCCGGUUAAUAACCGGUUGGAGUGACGGUACCUUCAGAAGAAGCCCCGGCUAACUACGUGCCAGCAGCCGCCGUAA